rnacentral:rRNA from 1 species
UACGGAGGGUGCAAGCGUUAUCCGGAUUCACUGGGUUUAAAGGGUGCGUAGGCGGGUUGGUAAGUCCGUGGUGAAAUCCCCAAGCUUAACUUGGGAACUGCCGUGGAUACUAUCAAUCUUGAAUAUCGUGGAGGUAAGCGGAAUAUGUCAUGUAGCGGUGAAAUGCUUAGAUAUGACAUAGAACACCAAUUGCGAAGGCAGCUGGCUACACGAAUAUUGACACUGAUGCACGAAAGCGUGGGGAUCAAACAGG